rnacentral:rRNA from 1 species
GACGAACGCUGGCGGCGUGCUUAACACAUGCAAGUCGAACGGAGUGGCGAACGGGUGAGUAACACGUGGGUGACCUGCCCUGCACUUCGGGAUAAGCCUGGGCAACUGGGUCUAAUACCGGAUAGUGUGGGAUGGGGCCGCGGCCUAUCAGCUUGUUGGUGGGGUAAUGGCCUACCAAGGCGGCGACGGGUAGCCGGCCUGAGAGGGUGGACGGCCACAUGGGGACUGAGACAGGGACCAGACGGCAACGGGAGGCAGCGGUGGAGAAUAUGGCACAAUGGGCGGAAGCCUGAUGCAGCGACGCCGCGUGGGGGAUGACGGCCUUCGGGUUGUAAACUCCUGUCACCAUAGACGCGGUAGACGGAGAAGAAGCACCGGCUAACUACGUGCCAGCAGCCGCGGUAAUUC